GAUGAACGCUGGCGGCGUGCCUAAUACAUGCAAGUCGAGCGAACAGACGAGGAGCUUGCUCCUCUGACGUUAGCGGCGGACGGGUGAGUAACACGUGGAUAACCUACCUAUAAGACUGGCAUAACUUCGGGAAACCGGAGCUAAUACCGGAUAAUAUAUUGAACCGCAUGGUUCAAUAGUGAAAGACGGUUUUGCUGUCACUUAUAGAUGGAUCCGCGCCGCAUUAGCUAGUUGGUAAGGUAACGGCUUACCAAGGCAACGAUGCGUAGCCGACCUGAGAGGGUGAUCGGCCACACUGGAACUGAGACACGGUCCAGACUCCUACGGGAGGCAGCAGUAGGGAAUCUUCCGCAAUGGGCGAAAGCCUGACGGAGCAACGCCGCGUGAGUGAUGAAGGUCUUCGGAUCGUAAAACUCUGUUAUUAGGGAAGAACAAAUGUGUAAGUAACUAUGCACGUCUUGACGGUACCUAAUCAGAAAGCCACGGCUAACUACGUG
rnacentral:rRNA from 1 species